rnacentral:rRNA from 1 species
GAUGAACGCUGGCGGCGUGCCUAAUACAUGCAAGUCGAGCGAUCGGACUUGAAGCUUGCUUUUCUUAUGUUAGCGGCGAACGGGUGAGUAACACGUGGAUAACCUACCUUUAAGACUGGGAUAACUUCUGGAAACCGGUGCUAAUACCGCAUAAUAUUUUUAACCGUAUGUUUCAAGAUUGAAAGACGCUCUUGCUUUCCUUUAUAGUUGUCUCCGCUCUUCAUUACCUAGUUGGUAAGUUAACGGCUUACAAAGGCAACGAUGCUUAGCCGACCUGGGAGGGGGAUCGGCAAAACGGGAACGGGAAAACGGUCAAGACUCCUAGGGGAGGCAGAAGUAGGGAAUCUUCCGAAAUGGGGGAAGGCCUGACGGAGAAACGCCGCGGAAGGGAUGAAGGUCUUCGGAUCGUAAAACUCUGUGAUUAGGGAAGAAGAUAUGUGGAAGGAACUGUGCACAUAGUGACGGUAACUAAUCAGAAAGCCACGGCUAACUACGUG